UACGUAGGGUGCGAGCGUUAAUCGGAAUUACUGGGCGUAAAGCGUGCGCAGGCGGCGCGUUAAGACAGGUGUGAAAGCCCCGAGCUUAACUUGGGAAUUGCGCUUGUGACUGGCGUGCUGGAGUGUGGCAGAGGGAGGUGGAAUUCCACGUGUAGCAGUGAAAUGCGUAGAGAUGUGGAGGAACACCGAUGGCGAAGGCAGCCUUCUGGGCCAAUACUGACGCUCAUGCACGAAAGCGUGGGGAGCAAACAGG
rnacentral:rRNA from 1 species